UUUCCGUAGGUGAACCAGCGGAAGGAUCAUUAUUGUAUAACCGAGGUGCGAGGGCUGUCGCUGACCCGAAAGGUCGUGCACGCCCGAGUGCCCUCACACACAUCCAUCUCACCCCUAUGUGCACCACCGCGUGGGUCCCCCUUUGGCUUGUUCGGAGGGGGGCUUACGUUUUCACACAAACUUUGUAUGCAGUGUAGAAUGUAUUUUUUGUUUUUGCGAUCACGCAAUCAAUACAACUUUCAACAACGGAUCUCUUGGCUCUCGCAACGAUGAAGAACGCAGC
rnacentral:misc_RNA from 1 species